CACAUGUUCUUGACUUUGGAGUAAACGUUUAUUUUGAAUCUUGUGAUUAAAGUAUAUUUCAUAUAAAAUGUCCAUAAUAAUUACAUUGAAG